CCUGACUCCAUUCCGAACUCAGAAGUGAAACGUAUUAGCGCCGAUGGUAGUGUGGGGUUUCCCCAUGUGAGAGUAGGACACUGCCAGGUC
rnacentral:rRNA from 1 species